rnacentral:rRNA from 1 species
GACGGAGGAUGCAAGUGUUAUCCGGAAUCACUGGGCGUAAAGCGUCUGUAGGUGGUUUCAAAAGUCCACUGUUAAAGAUUGAAGCUUAACUUCAAAAAUGCCGUGGAAACUUUGAAACUUGAGUAUGAUAGGGGUAGAGGGAAUUCCAGUGGAGCGGUGAAAUGCGUAGAUAUUGGAAAGACCACCAAUGGCGAAGGCACUCUACUGGGCCAUUACUGACACUGAGAGACGAAAGCUAGGGGAGCAAAUGGG